CGGGACCCCCGGUGUCAAAGCCAAGGGAUGGGGAAGGCGGGCAGCGCCGUGUUAUGGCAGCACACCUCAGCCUGGCGCUGGGCUUUGUGCAGGUUCCGUUCGCCAAUCUGUGCUUUAACGCAGCACGAAUGGAAUGGUUUAAAGCCCGGACGUCACACGGGAAAGGACUGCAGGGCUGCGGGUGUCUCCGAACCUCAGUGCAUCUCCAGCGAACAGAAGCCUGCUCUGAUCUGUGUAAUGCAGCUAAAACGCUGUCACAAAGAGCUUAAGACAACGCACUUCCCUUAAUAUCAGUGCCACCAAGUAUCUGCUCAUGGUGCUCUCAAAGGUUGAAGCAUCCACCUGGAUCUCGUCUUCAUCCUGCAAAGCUGCUUCUAGAGCUGCCUGGACUUUGGGAGCAAUGGCUGGACCUUCGUAGUCUCUUGUUGUUCGGCUGGGCAUGUCAAGUUCCAGUAAUACAAUAUUCUCUGCCUGAGGAAGUACAAGUGGAAUUAAAGCCUAUACACUUUCAUACAAAUGGUUUCUUUUCCUCUGGAAACUUAUUCUGCAGGACAUUAUAAAUACAUGCAAGACACUCUGUACGUCCCAUCAAAGAACAAUCCUCUGAAAUUUACAUUUCUCUGAUUAGGAAGGUGAAUGUAUGAAGGCUGUAGCCACAUCUGGGCUUACCCUGUACCGAGCCUCUGGACGAAUCAUCAUGGACGUCCUGGCAUGCUGGCUCAGCGGCCUUUUGUAUCCUACAGCAGACACUGGUCUUUUCAUCAUUUGCUGGUUACUAGAAAACACAUAUUCAGUCUAUCAUACACCAAAAGUGAAGACUUCUUGGAGUUUAUGAGGUAAAACAUUUGGAGAUGUAUUUCAAGCAAGCAGAAACUACCUAGACUGCAUUUCCCAGAACAGCUCUUCCUACAGACAGAGAUGAGAAGGUAAGAUUGUUAUCCCUUGGCAUCUGCAUCUGUUCCCUGCAUGAAACGAGGGAUUUCUGCAUAAUUUUUAUCACAGAGGCCACAGAUGCACACAGCUGCACCUAACAUUCUAAGUUUACUUUACAGAACCUCCCCUGUAAAGAGGUAGGAUCUAUCCACAGCUCUCACAUCAUAAUUUUUGAGAGCUUUCUUAACCAAAUCAGACAACAAAUAUGAUAAGAGCUUACUGAUAUUAAAUGGUGCACGCAGUGUUACACAUAUUUUACAUUUAAAUGUCAGGCUCACUUAGAAGAAAUUUUCCAAACUGUAUAUUCCUAUUUUAUUUGACCUACUUAGAUGAAUGAAAACUUUGUUUUACAACACAGCAAGAAUACAUAAGAACUCUGGAAGGCUGUUUCAAAACCACGAUUUUCUCUGUUGGAGUACCUUGUUUUUGGCAACUAGAGGGCUUUAUGUGACCUAGGAUUUGAUCUUAAUUAGAAAAUCACAAGUACACUCACUCCAGACGGGUUAUGGGAUGCAGUUUCCACUGGUCUUCCUCUUCAUCAAAGAAUGACCUGUUCAUGAUCUUAUUCUUUUCUUCCAAAGGAAUAAAAUUUUCAAUAAUCAAGUGCCUGCAUACAACCACAAAAAUGGGAAAUACACAAGAAAUACAGUUAGCAGAUGACUCUCCACUGCUCCUCUCCCUGGGAAUUAAUACAGCCCUGGAAAAGGGAGGAACGUUUUAGCUUUCUCCUGUUUAAAUCUUGUUCUGCAAGCAUAUGAAUUCAGUCCCUCCUUUUACUCCCCACCCAUAGAAACAAUCUCUGUUACAGUUACCAGCAGGCAAUGAAGUGAAGGGACUCACUUCAGCUUUAGUUCCCUGGUAAGCUCAUUCUGGGUCUGUUCCAGUUCCUGGCGCUCCUUGAUGUGCUCUUCUUGGAGAUCAUGGAUCUCUGCCUUCACAGCUUGCAGCUUGGAAAAUAACUGGAAUAGACCACAGGAGCCAAAGUCACAAAUUUCCAAUGUUCAGGGGAACAUUCUCACACACAGGCUGGUUUUAUUUAAGCCACGAGAUGUGGACUCACGUUCUCUUUACCUUUUUAAGUUUCUUGGUCUUUAUAUCCACCUCUUGCUGAAGAGAACUGUAGGUCUCCUUCAGCUCCAGUGUUUCCUCAUCCCGACUUUCCAUCUGCUGCUGGAUCUCCCGCUCCCGACGUUUCUGAAGAAUGCCAGACACAGCAUAUAAAAGUUCCAUGUGAAAAACUGGAAGAGAACUAUUACAAACCUCCUCUACCAAUUUCACGCAACAAAUAGGAUGCAAGCCCUUGCCCCUUCUUUUGAAAUCAACAGUUGCCAUUAAAGCAAUGCCAGGGUUAGCCCUGUGCAAACUUUCUUGCCUUUUCUCCUCAUACAACCUUUUAUAAAAGUUCUGCAGGUAGGUUUGGGCUGGGUUUUUUGGUACACAGUAACUAACGCUGCUGCUUGUACCUGUUCUGCAAUCUCCUGUCGUUUCUGUUCCAGGAUUUUCUGCUGCUCGUUUGUGUGAUCCACAAUAUUUUUCCCUCCCACCAGAAGUUUGCUUUCCAUUGCCUGAAAGAAAAAGACAAGGUUGUACGUUUCCCUCCUGGUGACCAGAUAACAAAGUCUUUCCUACAGAACCCGACUUUCUCUACUUCUCCAACUUCUUCACGAGGACACCUCCCUUACUUAACAUUCUCUUCUUGUGAUAAGAUGUAUCAUCACGUCUUACUGUGCAGAUUGCUGAAGAUUCCACAAGACCAGCACAUAAGAACAAUGCAACAACUCAUGAAUAUUGAAGAACGUAAUUAAUGGUGGAAACGCAACAAAAUCUUCUGAUCAAACACAAAUCACUAUUCUGGAAAGCUUUUGAAAUAUUCUUCCAAAUUAAGCAACCAGCUAUUCUCCCCAUAGCCUAUCUAAAUUGCUUGUAAGAAGUACGAAAGCACAGCAAAGAAUUCUACCUUGAUUUUAGCACUCAGCAUUUCUGUUGCUUCCUUCUCUCGCCUCAAGUCCUCCAUUUUCUUCUCCUUCUCUUUCAGCAGUCUCAUCUUUUCUUCGGCUACCAAGCUGUGGUCCUCAACAAUAGCUUUCUUUUCAAUCUCCAGCUUCUCUUGUUGCUCUCUCCAAUAGUCAUCUUUGUCAUCCCCUUCAUCCUCACCCUCCUCAGUAUCCUCCUCUUCUUCCCCACCCUCUCUCCUCCUUUCCCUCCUCUUUCUUUUGCCAAUAGACCGCUUCUCCAGCUGUGCCUUGAGUCGCGCGAUUUCUUCCUGGAAUUCACGCAGCAGAGCAUCCUUAGGAUCCUCAUUCACUCUUGGCUUGUUCUUGAUGUUUUUGGCACGAUUGGCAUAUCUCAGCGUCGUGAGAGUCUCCUCUACAUUGUAAGAGGCAGGGCCUAUAUUGGCCACCAUCACGGUCUUGGCAUUGCCACCUAAUGAGUCUUGGAGUAACCUAGUUAGCUUUGAGUCCCGGUACGGAAUGU